rnacentral:rRNA from 1 species
UACGUAGGGGGCAAGCGUUGUCCGGAUUUAUUGGGCGUAAAGAGCGUGUAGGCGGCCAGAUAGGUCCGUUGUGAAAACUGGAGGCUCAACCUUCAGAGGUCGACCGAAACCAUCUGGCUAGAGUCCGGGAGAGGAGAGUGGAAUUCCUGGUGUAGCGGUGAAAUGCGCAGAUAUCAGGAAGAACACCCGUGGCGAAAGCGGCUCUCUGGAACGGUACUGACGCUGAGGAGCGAAAGCGUGGGGAGCGAACAGG